rnacentral:lncRNA from 1 species
AGAUGAAGCAUCACCAGAAACAGGUGGGGAUGAAACCUCAGAGGAAGGACUGGGAGCAUCAGAGGAUGAUUUCUUUAAUGGAGAAGGAGCUGGUGAGGCAGAGGAUUUUGGUGAGCUGGCAGGGCUCGAGGCAGCAGAAAUGUCAGGAAUUUCAAUCACAUUUGAGAUUUGAAGAACUGAAAUGUUGAAGGGCUGAGAGACAACGGAUUUCACGAACUUGGCGUUGAGCUUGCUGCCCUUGACAGCUGACCCGAAAGCGAGCCCUCCCUC